AAAACCCUAAAAAAUUUAUCAUCACAGCCAGCCACCAUUUUUAAACGAUCUCCUUUUUUCUUCCUCAUUUCCUCUUUACAAUGCUCCCUUAAGCAGACCAUCAUGGUUCUUUGUCUUUUCAUCCCUUGGUAAAGUAUUUCCUUGAUAAGUGAGUUUUCUCACUAUUUUGAUCGUUCCUCUAUUGGAUCGACCCAAUUCUUUGAAAUACCUUCCCAUUUUCAUAAUCCCUAUUACUUUAAAACUUCUAAACUUCAAGCCCUAAGUCCUUCUCAGAGGAAAUAGUCACCCCCCUUUCUUCAACGAAUUUUACCUGAGAAAUAUACUUAAUCAAUUCCUUGCCUGUCAAUUUCAACAGCCCUUGCUACCGCACUGGAGAGGCCAGAGCUAAGAUAAGUAUUUUCAUUUUCUUUUAAGCCUUCUUUUGCUAAGAUAUGAGGUACUUUAUUCUUUUGUUUCCAUACAUGUUGAAAAAUACAAGUAACAAAGUUACUGCAUAAUCGUUUAGCAUCAACAAUAUAUGCUCUAAUUUUUUAUCCAUCUUCCUCUCGACUUUUUAAUUUUCGGAUGAUAGUUAAUGCAUCACCCUCGACUUCAAUUCGUAGGAAUUCAGAUUCUGCCCCAAAUCGAAUCGCCUGAACGUAUGCGAGAGCUUCUACUGCAAAUGUUGUCGGUAUAUGUUUGUUUCUGAAUUUUUUUUAUUUUUAAGACUUGUCCCAAAUAGUUUCUUAUAACAAUCCUUGUACAUGAUCUAUUAUUCUAUUUUUGAAAUGCAACGUCAAAAUUGAUUUUGACAUUCAUCUCGUUUGGUGGCCUCCAAUUCUCAUUAGCGAUUAUGUUGACAGGGGCCACCCAAUUCCUAGCCUUGUCGAUACUCCAGUUACAAAAUAGCAGUCUUGAAAGAUGUGCUCUCUGGUUUCUUCGUUAUUUCUACAUCUUGGGCAAGUCGCAGAAUCUUGUACCUUGCAUUGAAUAAGAUUGGAAAAAGUAAGAAAGAAAUUAUUUAGGGUUUUCCAUACUAGGAUUCUUAUUUUAGCCGGCAAGUUUACAUUCUAUAAUUCAUUAUACAUGGGUUUGUAAGUAAUUUAAUUUUUAUGUAUAUUUGUUUAUAUUUCCGUUUGUAUUAAGUUUUUGUACCAACUGUGCACUAUAUAAACUCUUGAAGCCUCUUCUCACCAUAUGACUUUAUCCAAUUCUUUCUCAAGUGGUAAGGGAAUGUACAGAAGUCUUGUUGCGUCAUCUUGGUGAAAGGUAUGUUGAAAGAAUUCUUGUUGCGUCAUCUUGGUGAAAGGUAUGUUGAAUUAACUCUUGCUUCCAUCGAUUUGUAUCUUGUUCAAUUAGUUCUGAAACUAACACAAGAUUUUGAGUACUACCUGGAUAUUGAAUCUUGUAGUCAGCUGAGCCCAGAACCCAUGCAUCAUUCCAAAUUUGAAUUUGAGUUCCGGAUCCAACUCGCCAGCCCAUCCCUUUAUUAAGAAGUCCUUUUGCCGACCAAAGACUUCGCCAGGUGCAUGAUGAAAAAUGGUUUGGCAAUGAGUUCUGAAGGAAGAAGUGGGGGCCUCGCAUUAAUGUGGAAGGAAGACUUUGAUGUUAACAUCCAAAACUACUCUAAGUUCCAUAUUGACGCCCUGGUUCAGUACGAAAAUAACAGAAGUGUUUGUUUCACUGGUUUCUAUGGUGAUGCGAACCCAAGCUUUCGAAAUAAUUCGUGAGAAAUGCUUAGAAGGGUUGAGAGGACGAUUGGUGAAGAUUGGAUUGUAGGAGGGGACUUUAAUGCAAUCUUGAAUGAUGCUGAGAAAAAGGGUGGGCGCAGGAAGGCUAGGUCGCAGAUAAAUGAGUUCAAGGAUCUUGUGGAUGAGCUGGCUCUUGUCGAUAUCAAGCCUAAUAAAGGAUGGGUUACCUGGGUUAAUAACAGGGAUAGGAAUACUAUGAUUAAAGAGAGAUUGGAUAGAUUCUUUACUUCGAUGUCUGUUAUUGAGAAUUUUCCUUUUAUGGCUACUUAUGUGGUGCGCCAAACUAAUUCUGACCAUGAUGCUAUAGUCUUGGAUACUUGGGGACGUAGCGAAAUAAAUAUCCCAGGCUUAGUUUCAAAUUUGAUGAGUGUUGGGCUAUUGAUGAGGAAGCUAAGAAUAUUAUUAAAGGCGUUUGGCAAUACAAUGAUAGCAACUUUGUAGGUAAGCUUGAUAAUGUGUAUGUAGCUUGGUUCGUGGCAACGUAGUAAAUAUAAUAAUAUGAAGAAAGCCAUUCGAAGACUGGAACAUAAGAUUGAUAGGAUCAUUAACUCGCCUCAAGGAAUUAACAGUACGUUAGUAUUGAAAGAAACAAGAAGCAGGCUCAAUCAUCUAUAUGCUAAGGAAGAGAAAUACUGGUCCCAAAUAUCUCGAUCACUUUGGUUAAAGGAGGGUAAAAAAAAAACUCGUUACUUCCAUGCGAGAGCUACUAGUCGACUGAGGAAAAAUAACAUUGAAAGGCUAAAAGACUAAUGGCAACUGGCUGAUGGAUUAUAGAGACAUUUUCAAUGUUACUGGAAACUAUUUUUGUAACUUGUUUCAGUCUAAUAACUAUGCUAAUGAUAUCCAUGUUUUGAAUUACAAUAGGGAAUGUGUUCCAAAAAAUCCAAUGAGUGGCUUGAAGUUGACUACAUGGAAAGCGAGAUCAUCCAGGCAAUAAAGCAGAUGGAUCCUAGGAAGGCCCUUGGAGUAGAUGGUCUCUCGAGAAAUUUCUUCAAGUACAACUGGGAGACUGUUGGCAGGGAUAGUAUCCGGUUCUGCCUUGAUAUUCUGAAUGGGAAUAAAGAUGUUUUAUAUUUAAAUAAAACUAUGAUAAUCAUAAUCCUUAAAAUUUGUAACCGUUAUGAUAUGACUAAUUACUACCCAAUUAGCUUAUGGAGGUUCGUUUAUAAGGUUAUCUCCAAA